rnacentral:rRNA from 1 species
AGUCGAUGGGAAACAGGUUAAUAUUCCUGUACUUGGUGUUACUGCGAAGGGGGGACGGAGAAGGCUAUGUUGGCCGGGCGACGGUUGUCCCGGUUUAAGCGUGUAGGCUGGUUUUCCAGGCAAAUCCGGAAAACCAAGGCUGAGGCGUGAUGACGAGGCACUACGGUGCUGAAGCGACAAAUGCCCUGCUUCCAGGAAAAGCCUCUAAGCAUCAGGUAACAUCAAAUCGUACCCCAAACCGACACAGGUGGUCAGGUAGAGAAUACCAAGGCGCUUGAGAGAACUCGGGUGAAGGAACUAGGCAAAAUGGUGCCGUAACUUCGGGAGAAGGCACGCUGAUAUGUAGGUGAAGCGACUUGCUCGUGGAGCUGAAAUCAGUCGAAGAUACCAGCUGGCUGCAACUGUUUAUUAAAAACACAGCACUGUGCAAACACGAAAGUGGACGUAUACGGUGUGACGCCUGCCCGGUGCCGGAAGGUUAAUUGAUGGGGUUAGCGGUAACGCGAAGCUCUUGAUCGAAGCCCCGGUAAACGGCGGCCGUAACUAUAACGGUCCUAAGGUAGCGAAAUUCCUUGUCGGGUAAGUUCCGACCUGCACGAAUGGCGUAAUGAUGGCCAGGCUGUCUCCACCCGAGACUCAGUGAAAUUGAACUCGCUGUGAAGAUGCAGUGUACCCGCGGCAAGACGGAAAGACCCCGUGAACCUUUACUAUAGCUUGACACUGAACAUUGAGCCUUGAUGUGUAGGAUAGGUGGGAGGCUUUGAAGUGUGGACGCCAGUCUGCAUGGAGCCGACCUUGAAAUACCACCCUUUAAUGUUUGAUGUUCUAACGUUGGCCCGUAAUCCGGGUUGCGGACAGUGUCUGGUGGGUAGUUUGACUGGGGCGGUCUCCUCCUAAAGAGUAACGGAGGAGCACGAAGGUUGGCUAAUCCUGGUCGGACAUCAGGAGGUUAGUGCAAUGGCAUAAGCCAGCUUGACUGCGAGCGUGACGGCGCGAGCAGGUGCGAAAGCAGGUCAUAGUGAUCCGGUGGUUCUGAAUGGAAGGGCCAUCGCUCAACGGAUAAAAGGUACUCCGGGGAUAACAGGCUGAUACCGCCCAAGAGUUCAUAUCGACGGCGGUGUUUGGCACCUCGAUGUCGGCUCAUCACAUCCUGGGGCUGAAGUAGGUCCCAAGGGUAUGGCUGUUCGCCAUUUAAAGUGGUACGCGAGCUGGGUUUAGAACGUCGUGAGACAGUUCGGUCCCUAUCUGCCGUGGGCGCUGGAGAACUGAGGGGGG